UACGUAGGGUGCAAGCGUUGUCCGGAAUUAUUGGGCGUAAAGAGCUCGUAGGCGGUCUGUUGCGUCGGUCUAGUGAAAACCCGCGGCUUAACUGCGGGCUUGGCGGUUGAUACGGGCGGGCUAGAGUUCGGUAGGGGAGACUGGAAUUCCUGGUGUAGCGGUGAAAUGCGCAGAUAUCAGGAGGAACACCGGUGGCGAAGGCGGGUCUCUGGGCCGAUACUGACGCUGAGGAGCGAAAGCGUGGGGAGCGAACAGG
rnacentral:rRNA from 1 species